rnacentral:rRNA from 1 species
AUUGAACGCUGGCGGCAGGCCUAACACAUGCAAGUCGAACGAGUCGCGCACGUGUGUGAUAUAUCUGGGACUAUGCCUGAUGGUGGGGGAUAACUACUGGAAACGGUAGCUAAUACCGCAAUCCAUCGUAUGUUCACAGAUGGGUGUCGAUAGGGGGUGGGGUAAAGGCUCACCUAGGCGACGACCCCUAGCUGGUUUGAGAGGAUGACCAGCCCAACUGGGACUGAAGCACGGGCCAGACUCCUACGGGAGGCAGUAGUGGGGAAUAUUGCACAAUGGGCGCAAGCCUGAUGCAGCCAUGCCGCGUGUAUGAAGAAGGCAUUCGGGUUGUAAAGUACUUUCAGUGGGGAGGCGUUACCCGCAGAAGAAGCACCGGCUAACUCCGUGCCAGCAGCCGCGGUAAUAC